CUUGCUUGCUAGUUGAGAUUUCUGCUCUUCACUCCAUUGUCAGUUUAGCCUACAUUUCACUCAUCUUAGUAGCCGAAAGCAUUUUAUGUGUGUGUCCGUCUGAAGAGACUGGCAGGACCUCACAAACUCAGACUGACAUUGUGCAGGAGGAAAAACAACUCUGCUGAAACGGACACACGUGACGGACUGAGUUGCUUUUUCCCAAAAGAUCCGGUUGUCAACAAAUCUGAAGGACAAUGACCAGAACCUAGAAAGCAGAACUUCAUCAGAGAGAGUUGUUUUCUCUUUCAGUGACGUCUCCAAGUUGCCUAUCUUACUAUCAAAAACAUUUUCUUAUUUGCAACAUCAAACUAUUCACUCCUUACAGUUUGGGUUUAGGUUUGAGGUGUCAUUUAUAAGUAAAGGGAGCAACCAUAUUUAUGUUUCUCUCUCAAUAUUAUGAAAAUAUUACUUCUCAUAUCCUACCACAGGGCGGCGCUCUUGCUCCAUUCUGAAGAAGAAAAAAAUACUGAUGUACAGCUACACAAAACUGUUCACUGCAGUCCAGAUAUCCACUUUCUGAUGCCUUACCCUGAUAUACCAAAUAAAUAAUUCCAAGCCCUUCACA